CUUCCGGCGAACCUGGCCGCGAGCGCGGAGAGCGGCCACCGAAUGACCCUGGACCCAGAACCAGCCUGACCCCCAUGAGGAGGUGCCUGCCUGAGGAGGCACCCUGCCCUGGCGGGGCUGGGGGUCGACUUUUUGCACAGGAGAGGCUGGCUUGAGAGCCCAGACCGGUCCCCAAUUACCACUGGCCGCGCGGGUCAGCCCCGAAGCAGGGGCGCAGGGAAAAGGCUUCUAAUGUGAGGAAAAACACGGAAUGACAAGUGUGGGAAAGAGCAAGCACUAAAUUACUGUCAGAAAAAUAAACGGAGUAGCACAGUGGUGCUCGGUGAUUUACGGGGGCAAUUAGUCACCACCCCACGGCGCUGCUGAGGACAGCACGGCAGCAGACGCGUCAGGCCUGAGAGGAAGAAGAGGCUUUGCACUACUCUCCAGACAACUUUUCAGACAAGAGAGGAUAUUUGAGCACAUUAGGUUCCAUGUCUUCAUUCUGGGUGCCCUCCCUUCACAUUAUCCAGCCAUCUAAUUCAUAAACGUAUUUUUAACACAA